rnacentral:rRNA from 1 species
UACGUAGGGUGCGAGCGUUGUCCGGAAUUAUUGGGCGUAAAGGGUUCGUAGGCGGUUUUUCGCGUCGGGAGUGAAAACCAGGUGCUUAACACCUGGCUUGCUUUCGAUACGGGCAGACUAGAGGCAUGCAGGGGAGAACGGAAUUCCUGGUGUAGCGGUGAAAUGCGCAGAUAUCAGGAGGAACACCGGUGGCGAAGGCGGUUCUCUGGGCAUGUCCUGACGCUGAGGAGCGAAAGUGUGGGGAGCGAACAGG